rnacentral:rRNA from 1 species
CCUACGGGAGGCAGCAGUGAGGAAUAUUGGUCAAUGGACGAGAGUCUGAACCAGCCAAGUAGCGUGAAGGAUGACUGCCCUAUGGGUUGUAAACUUCUUUUAUAUGGGAAUAAAAUGUUCCACGUGUGGGAUUUUGUAUGUACCAUAUGAAUAAGGAUCGGCUAACUCCGUGCCAGCAGCCGCGGUAAUACGGAGGAUCCGAGCGUUAUCCGGAUUUAUUGGGUUUAAAGGGAGCGUAGGUGGAUUGUUAAGUCAGUUGUGAAAGUUUGCGGCUCAACCGUAAAAUUGCAGUUGAAACUGACAGUCUUGAGGACAGUAGAGGUGGGCGGAAUUCGUGGUGUAGCGGUGAAAUGCUUAGAUAUCACGAAGAACUCCGAUUGCGAAGGCAGUUCACUGGACUGCAACUGACACUGAGGCUCGAAAGUGUGGGUAUCAAACAGGAUUAGAUACCCUAGUAGUC